UAAAAACUGAACGCAUUCACUCAUAUAAUCGCGGGAAUAUGGCCCGCAAGUUUCUACCAGGCUGCCGUAAACGGCCUGACUAUGGGUGGGCAAUGGGAACGU
rfam:Bacillus coagulans 36D1, complete genome.